AUGACCAAUGCUCCUAACGGGGGUGACUUUCCCAUAGACCAACCUCCCGUUGGCGGACUACCAGACCUCCAGCAGGAAAUGGCGCACGCCGCCCAUCCCGAAGACAUAAUUGCGGAGUUGACUUCCAAGGUUGAAAGAAUAUUUCACGAAGUAGGCACUCCUCUUCCUUUAGAGGAAGGUGAAUCUGCGCGAUCGUUCACUGAAAAUCAUGUAUUGUGGAAUAGUGAGGGAGGAGAUACUCUUCAACAAAUCUUCUCCGAUUAUACGGAAGCCGGGGACGCAAGCGAAUUCGUCGCAAUAGCCACCAAUCUGGCGAAGCGGUUUCGCCGCGCCGAGCUCGGUGAACCGGAUUCUCCCGACCCUGAUGCGCCUUUGGAAGAGCAGGAGGCUCAUUCCACGGGAUCCCCUGAAAGCACAAAAGCAAAUGAUGGGGCGAACGAGGCAGGCCCGUCUUCUUCGCGGAAGCGUAAAAGGUGGGAUGAUGAUUCGGGGUCUGAAGAUGAUGAUUCGGGGGGCCCCGGCGAAUCUCCAGAUCCAGUGGAAAUCGUUUACGAAGGGGAUGCACAAGGGUACAACUGGGAGGGGAAUUAG
rnacentral:rRNA from 1 species